AUUGAACGCUGGCGGCAGGCCUAACACAUGCAAGUCGAGCGGCAGCGGAAAGUAGCUUGCUACUUUGCCGGCGAGCGGCGGACGGGUGAGUAAUGUCUGGGAAACUGCCUGAUGGAGGGGGAUAACUACUGGAAACGGUAGCUAAUACCGCAUAACGUCGCAAGACCAAAGAGGGGGACCUUCGGGCCUCUUGCCAUCAGAUGUGCCCAGAUGGGAUUAGGUAGUAGGUGGGGUAACGGCUCACCUAGGCGACGAUCCCUAGCUGGUCUGAGAGGAUGACCAGCCACACUGGAACUGAGACACGGUCCAGACUCCUACGGGAGGCAGCAGUGGGGAAUAUUGCACAAUGGGCGCAAGCCUGAUGCAGCCAUGCCGCGUGUAUGAAGAAGGCCUUCGGGUUGUAAAGUACUCUCAGCGGGGAGGAGGGUGUUGAGGUUAAUAACCUCAGCAAUUGACGUUACCCGCAGAAGAAGCACCGGCUAACUCCGUGCCAGCCGCCGCCGUAAAAC
rnacentral:rRNA from 1 species